AGGACGAACGCUGGCGGCGUGCUUAACACAUGCAAGUCGAGCGGAAAGGCCCUUCGGGGUACUCGAGCGGCGAACGGGUGAGUAACACGUGAGCAACCUGCCCUUAGCUUCGGGAUAGCUCCGGGAAACCGGAAUUAAUACCGAAUAUGAUUUUUGCUGACAUCAGCAGAAGUGGAAAGUUUUUCGGCUAGGGAUGGACUCGCGGCCUAUCAGCUAGUUGGUGAGGUAACGGCCCACCAAGGCGACGACGGGUAGCCGGCCUGAGAGGGCGACCGGCCACGACCUGGGACUGAGACACGGCCCAGACUCCUACGGGAGGCAGCAGUGGGGAAUAUUGCGCAAUGGGCGAAAGCCUGACGCAGCGACGCCGCGUGGGGGAUGGAAUGCCUUCGGGUUGUAAACCCUUCAGCAGGGACGAAGCGAAAGUGACGGUACCUGCAGAAGAAGCGCCGGCUAACUACGUGCCAGCAGCCGC
rnacentral:rRNA from 1 species